UACGGGGGGGGCGAAGCGUUGUCCGGAAUUAUUGGGCGUAAAGAGCUCGUAGGCGGCCUGUCGCGUCGGAUGUGAAAGCCCGGGGCUUAACCCCGGGUCUGCAUUCGAUACGGGCAGGCUUAGAGUGUGGUAGGGGAGAUCGGAAUUCCUGGUGUAGCGGUGAAAUGCGCAGAUAUCAGGAGGAACACCAAUGGCGAAGGCAGCUCACUGGGACGGUAUUGACGCUGAGACGCGAAAGCGUGGGGAGCAAACAGG
rnacentral:rRNA from 1 species